CUACACCAUUACAUAUCUCUACUAUUAAAGGAGAAUUUGACAAGUAAUCAAGCAAGUCAGCACUGUCGUCGAUGGAAGUUGUCGUGCGGAGAUGGAAGUUGACAAGUAAGUUUCUCCAUGAAGUUGAUCUGAUGCGAAGCUUGUGCCAGAUAAAAGGUUAAUUGAGUUCUCAUCUCCAAUAUGUUUGCAUUCUAACUAUCCUUGUUGAUUCAGUGGUUCCAUGAUGCUACAUUUCACUUGUUUUUCACCUCUUGAUGCUACUAUGGACGGAAGGCGUUUGCUAAUUUGCACAUUAAUUUUUUUUCUGAUAAAAUGUGCCAAUAUCACCUGCAUUAUGCUUUUUAAAUUAUUAAUCCCUGCUAUAAUGUAACGUGCCCACAUAACAAGUAUUCCGCAAUCUUCGCAAGCAUGUAUUUGUUUGUCUAACUGUAGGUGAAAGAACAAGAUCCACUGUGUGUGCAACGGCAACAAUAAAUAUCAUGUCAUUAGGGAGACUUCUGAUAAUUCUACUCUGCAUUUUUUUUCUUUAGUAGAAGUGUUCUGCCGCAUUAUUCAACUAUGUGUGACCAAUCUGACACACCUCACGAGUUCUAUAUAUAUAUAUAUAUGGACUGAGCAAUUGAUUCAGGUCUUUUUUCAAGUGGGGAUGCAGAUUGGGCAUCAAGGUGUACGACAGAGGAUGACAAACGAUUACGUUCUGCACGUUAGUCCGCGUACAACUUAAAAGUUGAUUGAUACUUUUCAUUUUAUAUUGAUGGUCCCUCCAGCGAGAACAAUUUUUUGACUCGAUGUGUAGAUAUGCUCUUUUAUUUGUGCGAAGUUGUUCAGACUUUUCUUUGAUUCAUUAUUUUAGCUGCAUACAAAAGGAGUAUGAGUACUGUUUGGUUCCAUGCAGGACCAACCAAGGAAGAGAAGCAAAUCACAACCCUUUAGUUCAUGGUCUAGGAGCAGGAAGAUACACAUCCAUCUUUGUGAUAUUCUGGUAUGAAUAUGCAUGGUACUACGUACAGAAUCCCUCAAUUGUGUAGAUAGGUCAUCAAGUAAUAGUUAGUAAUUCAUACUUCUGCUUCACCUUUUAGUUAAUUAUCCGCUUUCAAGUAUUUGUUGCCGAAGUGAGCAUCUAAUUGCAGGAAUUCUGUGAGGUAACCAUCUCAAUCUUUUUGUCACAAGGCUCUUGCGCGGUAGAGAUUUUUGCUUGGUCAUAAAUGAAUUAGUUCCAUUCUUUGACAGUAAGAGAAUGGAGCCAGAUGGAGGAACAUCAGCAUUGAUGCCAACAUUUCCAUUCUCUUGUUGUAGUAGUGUCUUAAUUGGAAGAAUAUUUUGAUGAUGUUGAUUGCUUUCUAUUCUCAUCUUUUCAUUAUUUUAGAUCACUUUCUCGAUAGUUCAAUACUAUAUUUUUGGGAUUAACUGUAACAUUAUGUGAAUAUAUGUU
rnacentral:lncRNA from 1 species